rnacentral:rRNA from 1 species
AGGUGGUGCAUGGUGUCGUCAGCUCGUGUCGUGAGAUGUUGGGUUAAGUCCCGCAACGAGCGCAACCCUCGACCUUAGUUGCCAGCAUUCAGUUGGGCACUCUAAGGUGACUGCCGGCUAAAAGUCGGAGGAAGUGGGGAUGACGUCAAAUCAUCAUGCCCCUUAUGACCUGGGCUACACACGUGCUACAAUGGGCGGUACAAAGGGUCGCGAACCCGCGAGGGGGAGCCAAUCCCAAAAAGCCGCUCUCAGUUCGGAUUGCAGGCUGCAACUCGCCUGCAUGAAGUUGGAAUCGCUAGUAAUCGCGGAUCAGCAUGCCGCGGUGAAUACGUUCCCGGGCCUU